GACGAACGCUGGCGGCGUGCUUAACACAUGCAAGUCGAACGGAAAGGCCCCUUUGGGGGUACUCGAGUGGCGAACGGGUGAGUAACACGUGAGUAACCUGCCCUUGACUUCGGGAUAACUUCAGGAAACUGGGGCUAAUACCGGAUAGGAAUCCUUGCUGCAUGGUGGGGGUUGGAAAGCUUCGGCGGUUUUGGAUGGACUCGCGGCUUAUCAGCUUGUUGGCGGGGUAGUGGCUUACCAAGGCUUUGACGGGUAGCCGGCCUGAGAGGGCGACCGGCCACAUUGGGACUGAGAUACGGCCCAGACUCCUACGGGAGGCAGCAGUGGGGAAUAUUGCACAAUGGGCGGAAGCCUGAUGCAGCAACGCCGCGUGCGGGAUGACGGCCUUCGGGUUGUAAACCGCUUUCAGCAGGGGCGAAGCUUGUGGUGACGGUACCUGCAGAAGAAGCACCGGCUAACUACGUG
rnacentral:rRNA from 1 species